GGGGCAUUCGGUGGAUGCCUUGGCACCAAGAGCUGAUGAAGGACGUUGCGGCCUGCGAUAUGCCCCGGGGAGUUGGCGAGCGAGCUUUGAUCCGGGGGUGUCCGAAUGGGGGAACCCGGCCCGGGUUGUGCUGGGCCACCAUCAUCUGAACGUGUAUAGGGUGGUGGGGGGAACGCGGGGAAGUGAAACAUCUCAGUACCCGUAGGAAGAGAUAUUCCGUGAGUAGUGGCGAGCGAAAGCGGAUGAUGGCUAAACCUCGUGCGUGUGAUAGGCGGCGGCCGUUGCGCGCGGGGUGUUGUGGGGCCGGCCUGUUUCCCCUCUGCCGGGGGGUGGUUCCGUGUCGUCGUGGGAGUCGAACGCCCUGGGAUGGGCGACCGUAGUGCGUGAUAGUCGUGUAGGCGGUUCCGCGGUGGCGUGGUUCGGGGCUGGUGCCCGAGUAGUGCGGGGCUCGUGGAAUCCCGUGUGAAUCCGCCAAGACCACUUGGUAAGCCUGAAUACUCCUUGGUGACCGAUAGCGCAUAGUACCGUGAGGGAAUGGUGAAAAGUACCCCGGGAGGGGAGUGAAAUAGUACCUGAAACCGUGUGCCUUUAAGCCGUCAGGGCCCUGAGGGGUGAUGGCGUGCCUUUUGAAGAAUGAGCCUGCGAGUUAGUGGCGCGUGGCGUGCUUAACCCGUGUGGGGUAUGCGUAGCGAAAGCGAGUCCGAAACAUGGCGUUGUGUCGCGCGUCCUAGACCCGAAGCGGGGUGAUCUACCCAUGGUCAGGUUGAAGCAGGGGUAAGACCUUGUGGAGGACCGAACCCACCAGGGUUGAAAACCUGGGGGAUGAACUGUGGGUAGGGGUGAAAGGCCAAUCAAACUCCGUGAUAGCUGGUUCUCCCCGAAAUGCAUUUAGGUGCAGCGUCGCGUGGUCCCUGGUGGAGGUAGAGCUACUGGAUGGCCGAUGGGCCCUGUGGGUUACUGACGUCAGCCAAACUCCGAAUGCCAUCAGGGUCGAGCGCGGCAGUGAGACCGCGGGGGAUAAGCUCCGUGGUCGAGAGGGAAACAGCCCGGACCGCCGGCUAAGGCCCCUAAGCGUGCGCUAAGUGGGAAAGGAUGUGGAGUCGCGGUGACAACCAGGAGGUUGGCUUAGAAGCAGCCAUCCUUGAAAGAGUGCGUAAUAGCUCACUGGUCAAGUGGUUCUGCGCCGACAAUGUAGCGGGGCUCAAGCGCACCGCCGAAGCCGUGGCAGCAGCGCUUUUCGCCCUCCUCCCCCCUUUUGGAUGGGGUGGUGGGUGCGCUGCUGGGUAGGGGAGCGUCCUGCGCGGGGCGAAGCCCGGGGGUGACCCCUGGUGGACCGCGUGGGAGUGAGAAUGCAGGCAUGAGUAACGAAUUCUGCGGUGGGAAUCCGCAGCGCCGAUUGACUAAGGGUUCCAGGGCCAGGUUCAUCCGCCCUGGGUUAGUCGGGUCCUAAGGCGAGGCCGACAGGCGUAGUCGAUGGUCGACCAGUUGAUAUUCUGGUACCGCGCGGCGACCGCCAGUGCCGAUACCGCUGUGCUAACCGCCCGCACUGCCCCUCCUGCGCCUUCGGGCGCGGGGGCGGGCCGUGUCGCGGGGCCCCGGUGGUGGAGGCAAGCGUGUUGACAGGGGUGACGCAGGAAGGUAGCCGCAAUGCGCCGGUGGUUGUGCGUAUUCAAGGCUGUGGCCCGUCCCCCAGGCAAAUCCGGGGGGCAUGUGGGUGAGGGCUGAGGAGGGACACACGCGUGUGUGGACUUGUGGUGAUCCUAUGCUGCCGAGAAAAACCCCGACGUGAGGGCGCCGCGCGCCCGUACCCCAAACCGACUCAGGUGGUCAGGUAGAGCAUACCGAGGCGUUCGAGUGAAUCAUGGUUAAGGAACUCGGCAAAAUUCCUCCGUAACUUCGGGAUAAGGAGGACCCCGUGACUUCGGCUCAUCAUGCGUGGGUGUGGGGUUGUGGGGUCGCAGAGAAUAGGGAGAAGCGACUGUUUAUCAAAAACACAGGUGCGUGCGAAGCCGCAAGGCGAUGUAUACGCACUGACGCCUGCCCGGUGCUGGAAGGUCAAGAGGAGCCCUCAGCCCCCCAGGGGGGGCGAAGGGGCGAAUUCAAGCCCCAGUAAACGGCGGUGGUAACUAUAACCAUCCUAAGGUAGCGAAAUUCCUUGUCGGGUAAGUUCCGACCUGCACGAAUGGCGUAACGACUUCUCCGCUGUCUCAACCGCGAACUCGGUGAAAUUGCAGUACGAGUAAAGAUGCUCGUUUCGCGCAGAAGGACGGAAAGACCCCGGGACCUUUACUAUAGCUUGGUAUUGGUGUCCGCUUGUGCUUGUGUAGGAUAGGUGGGAGACUGUGAAGCGGCCGCGCCAGCGGUGGUGGAGUCGUCGUUGAAAUACCAUUCUGGUUCAAGCGGGCGCCUGAACCUGGGCCCGUGAUCCGGGCCGGGGACAGUGCCUGGUGGGUAGUUUAACUGGGGCGGUUGCCUCCUAAAAGGUAACGGAGGCGCUCAAAGGUCCCCUCAGCCUGGUUGGCAAUCAGGUGGCGAGUGCAAGUGCACAAGGGGGCUUGACUGUGAGACCGACGGGUCGAGCAGGUGCGAAAGCAGGAACUAGUGA
rnacentral:rRNA from 1 species